rnacentral:lncRNA from 1 species
GUCUCCCCGCGGCGCUGCGCUGUGCGGAGCGGGCCGAGCGGGAGCAGCGGGGAUGGGAGAGCGGUGCGCUGGUCGGGAGGGUCCCGCUGUGGCGGCUCGGCAGGCGGUGCCCGGGCUGCGCUCAAGGCCGCAUCGCGCAGCGGCCGCAGCGUCAGUAGAAAGCAGCGUUCCAGCGCUGGUGCCGGGGCCUGCCCCUGGCGGGUCUCACAGUGGGCUCAGCACUGGCGCUGAGGCAUAGGCGAUGGCAGACCUUCUCAGCGGUGUGUCAGCUAACGCAGCCAGGGCCAGGUCACCAGGUGCUUCAUAGGGACUGCACAGGCACAGGGGUGUCCCUCGCUGCAGUGCAGAUGCGCCGUGCUGUGCACGGACAUCGCGUUAUGUGACCAAGGUGACAGAGCUGCAUCUGAAGCGUGCGAGGUCCCAGGUUGGCUGGACCAGGACCUGGGCAGAGACUGCUGCAGAGGGAACAGUACCACUAACUGGGCUGGCUGCAAUUCAAAUCACUCAAGAAAUUCCUUUGUCACAAAAACGGCUUGGGGAUCUUUCUGUACCACUGCUCUCGACCUGGCGCCCUAAUCCUCAGUGGUAUGGCUGGAGCUCAGGCUUUCAGCGGAAACGACUGGGGGCUCAGUGCUCCCUGCCCCCACCGCCCGUUCCCGGCGCUUGUCGCCGCUCAGUUGUCCCGGCGGCUGCGAGUCCCUGUGCGCUGCCGGCGCUGCUCCGCUGCCCAGCCGAGGUCACGGGCAGCGCCCAUCCCAGCGCCACCGGAGCCCGCUGGCAGACGCGCCGCGCCCCCGCCGGAGAAGGAGCGAGGCCGUUCCCAGAGCAUCCUCGCAGCAUCAUGACUCUUCAGGUACUCACUUGUGCAUCUGGUGAGACAGAGACGAGAGGGGAUGAUGCACUGUGGGUCUGUGUAACGCCGUGCUGGAGACCGUGGUAUUUCUUCAGCAUGAGGAUUUUUACUGCAAAAUCAAGGUUACCUUGCGGCAAGGGAAAUCUGCUUAAACCCCUGGAGGUUAAAUAACUGCAUUGCUUUUCAGAAGAGGAGGGUGAGAAGCAUGCUGGUUAAUUGGAACUAUUUCACAGGUCAUGUAGUAUUUUGGAGCCUUACCUGUUCAGAGCACGCAUGAAUUACGUUUCUUCAGAUGUGCAUCUGAGUUUGCUAGGACUGAGUUAGACAUAGAAAGAUAGGUACAUACUUGCGUUUUUAGGAACUAGAUGGUUGCUUGGAGCUAUUAAAGAGGAGGAAAACUUCUAACACUGAAGUGUUAUAUGUGCAUUUGGGAAGCGUAAGUGAUUUUUAAGGAAGUUGUGUGUAUUUUUUAGGAUGUAUGCAUCUUUGGACUGCUGCAUUUUGGUAGCCUUGUGUUUUGGUAGGAGAGCUUCUACUUUCUUAUCUUCUGGCUAAAAAGAAAGCUUCCUUUUAUGUUCUCUCUAAUUUUAGCUUUAAAUUGCUGUUGAGGAAAUUAUUGCUGGCUUUUAGCCUCCUAUCUUUUUGGGAAACUAUGAAUACUUCCUUUGUCUUGGCCAUGCCCUGAUGGAUUAAGCUGUUUUUCUUCUGUAGGCUUUCCUAUUAUCCCUUUCACUUCAAGAUUUGCAAGCUCUUCUAUCCCUGUCUCAUUAUGUCUGUCUCAGCUUAGUGUGUAUUUUGCAAAGAGUGAGCAACACAAUGCUCUGACCUAGAUGCAGGGAGAGCACUGCCAGCAGCUUAGCAAUUUUCUUCUGAGCUGCAAUUAUGUUGAAUAGCACAGAGGUUUCAUUGUGCUGUGUUAGAGCUAAGAAGAAAUCUCCUUCUUCAGUGGGUCAAAAUUGCCAAAUCCCAAACAUAACACCACCUUUGCUUAAUUAAUAAUCGCUGAAAUUACGGUUUGUUUUAUUCUGCCUUGAAUUCACUCUAGAAAAUGCAUUUAUUAGCCUGAUGAUUAAGCAAUGAGCCAUAAAUCAUAAGAAAGAGCUGAAUGUGGUGUGAUAUGCUGUUCCAUAGCUAUUUACAAUUAUACUUUCACAUAAAAGUAAGUGGUUGAAAUUUAAGAUACCGUACAUAUUCUGCAUUAGACAUUAUUGAGCUUGUCUGUUCACAUUGGUUUGGUUGACAGUUACCAAUCAUAUCCAUAAAUUUAUUGAAUCUAGCUGUAUUGGAAUGAGGACAAAUGAAUAAAAUUAUGUUCUCAUUAGUGAGGCUGUAGCA